CACCUACGUAUAUUAAAACAAAGGUUUGAUCACAAUUUCCGUCAACAAAUACGCAUGGAUCCGACUUGGUUGGAAUGAGACCAAGUGAUAGAAGGGUCUCCUCAAGUCUCUCCAGUGUUUGCUGGUAUCUAGAUAAAAUUAUCUAGAUGAUUAUUUAGAUAAAAAAUGGAUUAUCUUUAUCUUAGAUAAAAAUAUAUGUCAUCUUAUCUAAAAAUUAUCUAAGAUGAUGUUUUUGUUGCAAAAACAUAUUUGAACAUAUAAAGGGUGUCAACAUAUUUAUAUUCUGGAAAAAUCGUGGCAAAUGGCAAAUAAUAGUGUAAAGGAGCGUUCCCACCGAGCGCGUUACGCGUCGUCCUUUGCUAUUCAAAACAUCUAUUAUAUUUCAUUAUAAUAAAAUGAGACGUUUUGAUUGGACGCGAAGGACGACGCGACGCAUGACGCGCUCGGUGGGAAUGCUCCCUAAGAUAGCUUUAGGCACACCCGGUACCCUUUUCGUUUUCGCACUUUCGUAUUUAGAAUGCAAAUUAAAGGAACUUCAAUCUCUUAUAAACUUUCCAAAUGUUAACAUGGUUUUUAUGAAAUAUAAUACAGCCUUCGUCGGCGCCUUUUCAGUGUGGCACAGCAAAUAACUAUACCUCGUUGCAACCGAUUAUCAAAUACAACGUUUAAAAAACUUUUAUUUUUGAGAAACUUAAAAUGAGCAAAGAACGCCGUCGAGUCUUUAAUUCUGUUUAUUUACUGUAAUUUGUGCAAUGCAUUAAUGUGAUUUAAUAAACAUGAAUAUUUAAUUAUUCAGUUAUCGGAGCUGCCUCCGCUAAACUGAAUAAUUAUCGUUUAAAUAUUCAUGUUUAUUAAAUCAUAUUAAUAUAUUUAUGAUUUUAAUAUCCCAUUUAUAAAUUAUAUUCUACGUUAUAUUUUUUACAAAUUUUUAUAAAUAAUCUUAUAAAAUAAACAAAAUUAUCUAGAAAAUUAUCUAGAUAAUCGCAAUAGUCAUCUCAUCUUUCAUCUAGAUUAAGUAAAAGCAAAAUCAUCUUCAUCUUAUCUAAGAUAAAUUCACGGAUUUGUAUCUUUAUCUUUAUCUAGAUAAUUUUGAAAUUAUCUACGGCAAACACUGAAUCUCUCAUACCAUUGACGCCCUGCUUCCUUAAAGCCGUAGAGUGCUUUGUUGAGUCGACAAACCCGGUCGCCAUCAAUCAACUGGGAUAACAUCAUCUCGGCUUUAGACGUUAACUCGAUACCGGAUUUCUGAUGAAUCAUUCUUCUUAGCAUUUCUUUAGCUUGGGCUUUGAAAUGUAGAUUUUCGUUGCUUUCUCUACACCUGCGUCGGCAUCUUCUCUGACGGAUUGAUCGUAUACGGGAACGUCAGGUUUAUCUAUAGCGACAUGUUUAAUGUCUUCGGCUGUUCCCGGAUUCACAGCGAUUUCCGUUGUAGUAGGAUGGACAACGUCCGGCGUCGCAUCGUUGCAGUCGUUCUGUCGUGGUUGGCAGUGUCCUCGAGCUCAUUUUCAGAGGAGUCGAAGAACUUGACGUCUCUUAAAAUGCAAAUCUUCUUUGUGCUUGAAAUCCAAACCCGAUAGGCCUUAGAUAGGCGUUAGAAUAGCCCACAAAUAUGCCAUCCAUCGCUCUGAGUUGGAACUUUCCUUUGUUGGACGCGUUGUCCGUAACAAAAACCUUGGAACCAAAGAUACGAAAGUGUUCGACAUUCGGCUUCUCACCGGUCCCACGCCUUAUAUGGAGUGCCUUGAAUCAGACUUUUAGAGAUGCAUCUGUUGCGAAUAUAAUGCGCCAUUGCAAUGGCUUUGGCCCAGAAUGUGUGUGGUAAGAACCUGUGUGUAGAAGUACCUUGAACUAAAUGAAAACCGUAAAAUAUGCAAUUUUUUACGUAAACUUUGAACGCAAUUUGUUGUUAGAAAAAGUAAAUCUGUGAAAAAAUUAAUAACAGCAUUUAAAAGUGUAAACUUUCAGCUUUCCAACGCUUUUUUGCUGAGCGCUGUACGUUGAUUUGUUUACGAGUAACAAGCGAUGAAAGUCAAAAUGACCAUUUUUACUUAAAAUCUCAAUAACUCGGUCAAAAAAAAUCGUACAGCAAUGAACAACUACUCAAAAUAAAGGGAAAAGAUCCCGCUCUAGGAUGCAAGUAACAAAAAUACUCUAUGAUUUUUUUCACGCGAGAUGCAACGCAGCAAAUUCGCAUUAAAAAUUUUUAUUUUAACGGGUCAAGCUUCAUCAUUGUACCACGUUGGUGAAAAAAAAGAUAACUAAAAUCACCAAAAAGCGUUUAAGAAAAGAAGUUUCAAUCUUUAAAACGCUUUAUGGAUUUUGUUUCUACGAUGAUUUUUUGCUGAGUUAUAGCAGUUUGAAAAUAGCCUAAAUAUUCGGUAUACAAAAAGUGUUCCCUAUUUUUUUUAGUAGUAUAUAUAUGUAUAAUACAAACUGUAAUAGCAAAAAUUUUACAACUAAUAAUACUAACAUAUAAAUAUUGAACUCCACGUUGCAACAAAAAAGCAAUGUUAUUAUACAUAUACAUAUACACAAGCUGAUAGAAAUGAUAGACAUACUAACUGUACUAAUUCGGAUACGUAAUUUUUUUCAAUGUGGAAGCAUAUGAAAAUGAGAGAUUAAUUUGAAUUAUUGCCCUCGCACAUUAAUUUCCGUAAUCAUAAGUAUAAGACGUAACGUAAGAAUUAGUCAAUGGAAUUAGAAGAUAGAACAAUUCAACCAAUCAUAGAACAUCCAUAAAAUAUUAUCCGUAACAGUAAACAUAAAAAUAUAACUUGACCAAUUAUAAAUAACUUUUAAAAGAUAAAAAAAAUAGAAGAAGAAAUAUAUAAAUAGUUGUGAAAUGUUUUAUUUAUACAUAUUUUACAAAAUAUUAAAAUAUUGUUAAUAUAUAAAGAUAUACCUAUAUAAACAUAGUUUAUAAUAUAAAAGAGAGUUUAGCUUCGAACCCUGGACGGGUCGAGGCGCGAAGAAAAGUUUUAAGUUAGAUUAGGUUAAAAA